rnacentral:rRNA from 1 species
AUUGAACGCUGGCGGCAGGCUUAACACAUGCAAGUCGAGCGGAGAUGAGGUGCUUGCACCUUAUCUUAGCGGCGGACGGGUGAGUAAUGCUUAGGAAUCUGCCUAUUAGUGGGGGACAACAUUCCGAAAGGAAUGCUAAUACCGCAUACGUCCUACGGGAGAAAGCAGGGGAUCUUCGGACCUUGCGCUAAUAGAUGAGCCUAAGUCGGAUUAGCUAGUUGGUGGGGUAAAGGCCUACCAAGGCGACGAUCUGUAGCGGGGCUGAGAGGAGGAUCCGCCACACGAGGAGGAAGACCAGGCCCAGACCCCGAGGGGGGGCAGCAGUGGGGAAUAUUGGACAUUGGGGCAAACCCUGAUCAAGCCAUGCCGCGUGUGUGAAGAAGGCCUUAUGGUUGUAAAUCACUUUAAGCGAGGAGGAGGCUACUGAGACUAAUACUCUUGGAUAGUGGACGUUACUCGCAGAAUAAGCACCGGCUAACUCUGUGCCACCCGCCGCCGUAAGAC